rnacentral:rRNA from 1 species
UUGAAGGGCUGCAGUAUAUUGACUGUACAAAGGUAGCAUAAUCAUUAGUCAUUUAAUUGAUGACUUGUAUGAAAGAUUGGAUGAGAUAUAAACUGUCUUUUAUUUAUUUAUAAAAUUUAAUUUUUUUAUUAAAAAGUUAAAAUAAUUUAAAAAGACGAGAAGACCCUAUAGAGUUUUAUAAAUAUAUUAAAUUAAGAUUAUAAUGUAAUAUAAAUUUAAAAUUUAAUUAUUUAUUUUAUUGGGGUGAUAAAAAAAUAUAAAAAACUUUUUUUAUGGUUAAAACAUUGAUAAAUGAUUAUAUGAUCCAAUAAUAUUGAUUAUAAGAAAAAAUUACCUUAGGGAUAACAGCGUAAUUUUUUUUUUUAGUUCGAAUAAAAAAAAAAGUUUGCGACCUCGAUGUUGGAUUAAGAUAAAGUUUAAAUGUAGAAG